UGUUCUUGCAGUUUUGAAACUUUUUCAUACUGAGACAUGUUGAGGAGGAAGGAAGGAAGGACUGAAGUUUCUGGACAAUGAAAAUUAUCAGCAGAAGCAGAAAAAUGGUAGCGUGGUCAAGAGCAGCAUUAUGUCAACAAAGGUGUGCCACCCUGGGACCUUCAGUGCUUCCAGUUAUCUAGUGCCUCAUGUCUCAUGGAAAAAAGGCAUAUCAUCAUGUAACCACCCAUUUUGUCUCCAAAUACAAUGGAAAAAAGCUGGAGAAAGCUCAAGAAGAUCAACUUCUCCUGCAAAUGGAUAAUGCCUGGCAGAAUUUGGGGACUAUUAGGAAACUAACAGUACAUUCUGCAUUAGAUGACAAAUGGCUUGUAUGAUUUUCCAGCUGAAGUAUGCAGAGCUGUGGAACAGUUAAAUGCUUAAGAGAUGCUCUUCAGACUGUCUACAGCUGGUGUCCAGUUUGGCUGCCGUGGUUGCUGUUUCCCAACAAGUGAACUGAGACUCAGGACAUGCCAGCAGUAAGUAAUGAAGCCUCACCAACUCCUUUAAAGGUAGAUGCUCUAGAUACUGUGGCAUUUGAAGUUAUUCUGAUAUAGGCUACCUGAAUAUGAUCA
rnacentral:lncRNA from 1 species